rnacentral:rRNA from 1 species
UUGAACGCUGGCGGCAGGCCUAACACAUGCAAGUCGAGCGGUUGAGAGUAGCUUGCUACUUGAUGCAGCGGCGGACGGGUGAGUAACGCGUGGGAAUCUGCCCAGUAGUGGGGGACAACAGCCGGAAACGGCUGCUAAUACCGCAUACGCCCUACGGGGGAAAGGGGGGGAUCUUCGGACCUCUCGCUAUUGGAUGAGCCCGCGUCGGAUUAGCUAGUUGGUAGGGUAAAGGCCUACCAAGGCUACGAUCCGUAACUGGUCUGAGAGGAUGAUCAGUCACACUGGAACUGAGACACGGUCCAGACUCCUACGGGAGGCAGCAGUGGGGAAUAUUGGAAAAUGGGGGAAACCCUGAUCCAGCCAUGCCGCGUGUGUGAAGAAGGCCUUAGGGUUGUAAAGCACUUUCAGUGGGGAGAAAGGUUUGUCACCUAAUACGAGAUGAAAUUGAUGUUACCCACAGAAGAAGCACCAGCUAACUCCGUGCCAGCCGCCGCCGUAAAAC